rnacentral:tRNA from 1 species
GCGAGAGUGGCGGAACUGGCAGACGCGCUAGAUUUAGGAUCUAGUGCCCCUAGCGGCGUGUGGGUUCGAAUCCCUCCUCUCGUA